CCUACGGGAGGCAGCAGUGGGGAAUAUUGCGCAAUGGGGGAAACCCUGACGCAGCAACGCCGCGUGAGUGAGGAAGGACUUCGGUCUGUAAAGCUCUGUUAAUGUGGAAAAAUGGUAGUUGGUCUAAUAGGCCGAUUAUUUGAUGGUACACAUAGAGGAAGCACCGGCUAACUUCGUGCCAGCAGCCGCGGUAAUACGAAGGGUGCAAGCGUUGUUCGGAUUUAUUGGGCGUAAAGCGCGCGUAGGCGGACCUGUAAGUCAGAUGUGAAAUCUCGGGGCUCAACCUCGAAACUGCGUCUGAAACUGCAGGUCUAGAAUCUCGGAGGGGGAAGGGGAAUUUCGCAUGUAGGGGUAAAAUCCGUAGAUAUGCGAAGGAACACCAGAGGCGAAGGCGCCUUCCUGGACGAGUAUUGACGCUGAGGCGCGAAAGCGUGGGGAUCAAACAGGAUUAGAUACCCUGGUAGUCCACGCUGUAAACUAUGAACACUAGGUAUUGGAGGAUUUGACCCCUUCAGUGCCGUAGCUAACGCGUUAAGUGUUCCGCCUGGGAAGUACGGUCGCAAGCAAAACUCAAAGGAAUUGACGGCUGNGAGNGCGAGCGACGACGAGGAGGAG
rnacentral:rRNA from 1 species